GACGAACGCUGGCGGCGUGCCUAAUACAUGCAAGUCGAACGAACCGCGACUAGGUGCUUGCACUUGGUCAAGGUGAGUGGCGAACGGGUGAGUAACACGUGGGUAACCUACCUCAUAGUGGGGGAUAACAGUCGGAAACGACUGCUAAUACCGCAUAGGACAUAGGAUCACAUGAUUCUGUGAGGAAAGGUGGCGCAAGCUAUCGCUAAGAGAUGGACCCGCGAUACAUUAGCUAGUUGGUAGGGUAAAGGCCUACCAAGGCGAUGAUGCAUAGCCGACCUGAGAGGGUGAUCGGCCACAUUGGGACUGAGACACGGCCCAAACUCCUACGGGAGGCAGCAGUAGGGAAUCUUCCGCAAUGGACGCAAGUCUGACGGAGCAACGCCGCGUGAGUGAAGAAGGUCUUCGGAUCGUAAAGCUCUGUUGUUAGAGAAGAACAGCGCAUAGAGUAACUGUUAUGCGUGUGACGGUAUCUAACCAGAAAGCCACGGCUAACUACGUG
rnacentral:rRNA from 1 species